ACGAACGCUGGCGGCGUGCCUAACACAUGCAAGUCGAGCGAAGUUAUUCCUUCGGGAAUAACUUAGCGGCGGACGGGUGAGUAACACGUGGGUAACCUGCCUUAUAGAGGGGGAUAGCCUUCCGAAAGGAAGAUUAAUACCGCAUAACAUUGAGCUUUCGCAUGGAAGCUUAAUCAAAGGAGUAAUCCGCUAUAAGAUGGACCCGCGGCGCAUUAGCUAGUUGGUGAGGUAACGGCUCACCAAGGCGACGAUGCGUAGCCGACCUGAGAGGGUGAUCGGCCACAUUGGGACUGAGACACGGCCCAGACUCCUACGGGAGGCAGCAGUGGGGAAUAUUGCACAAUGGGGGAAACCCUGAUGCAGCAACGCCGCGUGAGUGAUGAAGGCCUUCGGGUUGUAAAGCUCUGUCUUUGGGGACGAUAAUGACGGUACCCAAGGAGGAAGCCACGGCUAACUACGU
rnacentral:rRNA from 1 species